UACAGAGGGUGCGAGCGUUAAUCGGAAUUACUGGGCGUAAAGGGCGCGUAGGCGGUUUUUCAAGUGAGAUGUGAAAUCCCCGGGCUUAACCUGGGAACUGCAUCUUAAACUGAGGAGCUGGAGUACUGUAGAGGAUAGUGGAAUUUCCGGUGUAGCGGUGAAAUGCGUAGAGAUCGGAAGGAACAUCAGUGGCGAAGGCGACUGUCUGGACAGAUACUGACGCUGAGGCGCGAGAGCGUGGGGAGCAAACAGG
rnacentral:rRNA from 1 species